rnacentral:misc_RNA from 1 species
CGUCAUAUCUUGGAUUUCACGGUUUCGAACAACAAAGAAAUGGGAAAGUUAAGAGUGUGUUGUAUUUGUGGUAUUUCUGCAAAUUAUCAAACGAAGGAUAGAAAUUCCCGUAGUUUUUUUAAUUUUCCAAACCCGAAUAUCAAAAAAUUAGUGCCAUUUGAUAAGGAUCUGUUGGAAAGGAGGCUUGUUGCAUGGAAAGAAGUUGUUGGAACUAAUUAUGAUAAUGUCCCCAUUGGACUGACUUGUGUUUGUUCUGAUCACUUCCAAUCAGGUAAACCAGCUCACUUUUGCAAUGCAAACGAUAUUGAUUGGAUACCAUCAAAGAAUUUGGAUCUGUUGGUCACUAACAAAACAAGAAACACUCAAUAUGCUAAUGAACAUUCACACAAUAACAAUGAUGAAGAAUCAAAUGUUGAUGUCACCUUACGAAAUGAUGACAUAGCUUCAUCAUCAGACAUUGUUGAAAACUGCAGCACUGCAGCUACAGAUUACAGUAGUUCACAGCCUAAUCCUAGUAUAGAUUUCAUUUCAGCAGCCUGGAAAUACAGAAAUGAAAUAGCAAGCUUGAUCUACGACUUGAGAAGAGCUGGUGUUGAAAGCCCACAAGAAUGUAAGUUGGGUGACUUGAUUCAUUUUCAUGAACAGGAUACCUACGUCAAUGAAGCAGUCCUUAUGAGAACACAAUUAAACCAAAAGACAAUUGCUUUGGAGUCGUGUAACCUCGAAUUAGAUAAUAUGAAGAAAGAGCUGGAAAAAGCAAAGGAGUAUAUAGGUAACCUAAGAGCACAAUUGGAAGAGAACACCCAAACAUUGUGCUCAUACCUAGCUAACUGCUCAUAAUUUGUGUUUUCUAAUUUAAUUUCUAACCUUCCUCGUUAUUUGUGAUAAUGAAGUGAUCAUAGAAAUCUAGCAUACGGUAGCAGUUUUAAAGACCGGGAGUAAAUAAUGUGACAGUGUCGAAAACCAAAGUAAAUUUAUUAAUUAACCAAAUUAAUCAAUCAAUACGAGCGCAAAAUGUAAACAUAUCUCAUAAUUUCUGCGUUAGCAAUUUUGAUUGGUAAAUGUCGGAAAAAAAUUGUAGUAUGUAAGUUGCCUGGUUUUGUACAUAGCACUUAGCAGUCAUUUUCAAGGUACGCGACUACGCGUGAUAAAGCAAUCAAUUUUUCUCUUCCGCAUAAACACUAAUGGUCGUUAAAAUCACGUUGUUUUCGUCUUCUCAUGUCUGUCGAAAGUUCUUGCUGCUUUGUUCACUUAGUCUGAUUUCUAACAACCUUAACAAUGGUAAAAUCUAAAUAAUUCGAAGGAAUCAAAGAAACAUGAGUCGUUACCUUGUCAGUAGCUUUGCUGAUGUUUUCUGAAGUUGGCUUUACGUCUGACUAUAUUAUUAUUGCCAUGUUUUAGAUCAAUAGAAUUGGGGAAAUUCGGGAAGGAAUCGAUUUAUCUAUUUAUUUUAUGCCGCAAAUAUUCCCAAGUUAUUUCAAGUCUUUGUUUGGGGCAAUAGUUAGAUCACGUUUCUUUCUAAGGAUAGUGAGAGGGUCUUGCAUUGCCGUUAUUUCUGUACGAGCUACUGAUGUAAGAUGGAUCGGAUCGGCCAUAGAGAUUUGAUAUAUUGAAGUUCUUUUAUGUGCGGUGCAUCACCACAGAAUAGUUGUUUCCUUAAAUUUAAAUUCUCAGUUUUUAUUUCGUUGAGGAAACUCUGAAACCCGGUUGUUUGAUACUCAUUUUCACAGGUUAUAAAAGUAUCUUAUUCAAGGUAUUUAUUUUCCUUGGGUUCAAACCAGAAUGCGAGCCUGAAUGCGGGUUCGCCUGAGUACACCUAAAGUUAUUUUCUUUUUAACUUGCCGAUUCAUUUUCAUUUCAGUGAGGAAACAUUCAUGAAUCCUUGAAAUUUAAAAUCGUUUAUUUUUUUAUUGAAUUUAAAGACAGGUGAAUUUGAUUGAAAUAACGUAGUAAAAUAGUAAGGAAAUAUUUAUUUGGGAAAAUAAUACGCUGUUAAAUAUUAAUCCUAACGUUAAUAAAAUGUUAUUAAAAGAGAUGACACUAGCAGUGAAAAAAUCAAUUGAAAUUGGAGGAUUUUACUCGAAUUCUCUUUGAAGGAUGACCUACUUGAUUUACUUUCUAAUAAAAGUUGCAAGGUGAUCCAAUAUUUAAAUUACUGCAUUGGUACCGAUUCAUUUGAAUGGUGAGAUAGUGUUGCUAUAUUGCUAUGGGCAUCGAUAUAAAACAGUUGAACGACUUACGACAGCACUGACCGACAUUUGAACAUGUCGGAUUUGCAUUUGCUCUUAGCGACAAUGAAACCCGUGCAAUAAAUUAUUUCGCCUGUUCAGACACCUUGAAUGUUGGGUACGCAAAAAUAUUACACUAGUGAAUUUACAUUAGUACUAAAUAGGGGAAAACAUUUUUUAAAGUUUAUUUUAUUGUAGACUCAUCAUCAUAGCCGAUUACGUUAAAAUAUGUGAAUUGCCACAGAGAUUUAUGUAACAUUUUUGCGUGAGAAAGUUAUUGACGGCCAAAUUCGGAAAACGAUUAAUAGUCUCCAAUGCAUUGAUAUUUCGUUUUUCGUACGAUCUAAUACUGUCCCAUGUUCCUAUCUAAAUUUCGGUUUUCCCUUCACCUUCUUCAUACUUGCAGCCCCACCCUCAUAUUGCCGUUGGUUGUCAACUCUCAUAUUUCGUAUAAAAUCGUGGAUGAUUCGGUUGGAAAGUAUCAGUUAUCCAGCUGUUUCAAACAAGUCAACUACUGCUCCGACAUGAAGUUCUUUAUUAUCCUCGUUGCCUUUGUUGCGUUCGCUGCUGCCGAAUCAUACAAAGCUGCUGAAUACGAGGCUCCCAAGUACGAAGCCCCUAAAUACGAGGCUCCUAAGUACGAGUCACCGAAGUACGAGGCUCCUAAGUACGAGACCCCUAAAUACGAGGCUCCUAAGUACGAGACCCCUAAAUACGAGGCUCCUAAA